rnacentral:rRNA from 1 species
AUUGAACGCUGGCGGCAGGCUUAACACAUGCGAGUCGAGCGGGGUGAUGGUGCUUGCACUAUCACUUAGCGGCGGACGGGUGAGUAAUGCUUAGGAAUCUGCCUAUUAGUGGGGGACAACAUCUCGAAGGGGAUGCUAAUACCGCAUACGUCCUACGGGAGAAAGCAGGGGAUCACUUGUGACCUUGCGCUAAUAGAUGAGCCUAAGUCGGAUUAGCUAGUUGGUGGGGCAAAGGCCUACCAAGGCGACGAUCUGUAGCGGGUCUGAGAGGAUGAUCCGCCACACUGGGACUGAGACACGGCCCAGACUCCUACGGGAGGCAGCAGUGGGGAAUAUUGGACAAUGGGGGGAACCCUGAUCCAGCCAUGCCGCGUGUGUGAAGAAGGCCUUAUGGUUGUAAAGCACUUUAAGCGAGGAGGAAGCUCUUUUGGUUAAUACCCAAGAUGAGUGGACGUUACUCGCAGAAUAAGCACCGGCUAACUCUGUGCCAGCCGCCGCGGUAA